rnacentral:rRNA from 1 species
GCCAGACUCCUACGGGAGGCAGCAGUGGGGGAUAUUGCACAAUGGGGGCAACCCUGAUGCAGCGACGCCGCGUGAGCGAUGGAGUACUUCGGUAUGUAAAGCUCUGUCAGCAGGGAAGAGAAUGACGGUACCUGACCAAGAAGCCCCGGCUAAAUACGUGCCAGCAGCCGCGGUAAUACGUAGGGGGCAAGCGUUAUCCGGAUUUACUGGGUGUAAAGGGAGCGUAGACGGCAGUGCAAGUCCGGAGUGAAAGCCCGGGGCUCAACCCUGGGACUGCUCUGGAAACUGUAAAGCUGGAGUGCGGGAGGGGCAGGCGGAAUUCCUGGUGUAGCGGUGAAAUGCGUAGAUAUCAGGAGGAACACCGGCGGCGAAGGCGGCCUGCUGGACCGUAACUGACGUCGAGGCUCGAAAGCGUGGGGAGCAAACAGGAUUAGAUACCCGAGUAGAU